rnacentral:rRNA from 1 species
UACAGAGGUCUCAAGCGUUGUUCGGAUUCAUUGGGCGUAAAGGGUGUGUAGGUGGCGCCGUAAGUCGGGUGUGAAAUUUCGGAGCUUAACUCCGAAACUGCAUUCGAUACUGCGGUGCUUGAGGACUGGAGAGGAGACUGGAAUUCAUGGUGUAGCAGUGAAAUGCGUAGAGAUCAUGAGGAAGACCAGUGGCGAAGGCGGGUCUCUGGACAGUUCCUGACACUGAGACAAGAAGGCCAGGGGAGCAAACGGG